GGUCCAUCAUGAGAUAUAUUUAUGGCACUAAACACAAAAUAUUAAAAAUCCCCAGUGAAAUUUUUUUUAUAAGCGUCUAUAGUUGUAAUUUAAAAUGAGACCGUAUAAAUCACGGUAUUUCAAAAUAUGUUUUUCCAGAAUUCACUCAGAUCCUCGGAAUCGUUUUUCAUGAGCAAUGGUAUUUUGUUUUAUAUAGGUCUAUAUUUAAUUAUUUUGGAUAUUUUAAAGUUUUUUUAUUCGCGUUUAAAAAAAAAAAAAAAUGAUAUAACUAUUCUAUAAACAAUAAUACGUAAUAUUAUAGUUUCAAUUGUUGAUGCAUUUAAAACUGUGUAAUUGUGUAUAGUUCCCUAGUUUUUCUUAAUUUUAUAAUUUGAACUCUGUAGGUUUUAGUCUUGACAGAGUGUUGUAUAUUUAUGAUAACAACUGAUGAUCAUGUUAUUAUAUUAUACAUUUAUAGUUUAUACCUAUCACCUAUUUCACUUAACCGUAUUUGCUGUCAUAU